CCUACGGGAGGCAGCAGUGGGGAAUAUUGGGCAAUGGCGGCAACUCUGACCCAGCAAAGCCGCGUGAAGGAAGAAGGUCUCAGGGUUGUAAACCUAUGUUGUAAAGGAAGAAAAGAAUGACGGUACUUUACAAGCAAGCCCCGGCUAACUAUGUGCCAGCAGCAGCGGUAAGCCAUAGGGGGCAAGCGUUGUUAGGAAUUACUGGGGGUAAAGGGAGCGUAGGCGGGAGAGUAAGUUAAGAGUGAAAGGCUUGGGCUCAACCCAAGAAAUGCUCUUAAUACUGGUUUUCUAGAGUGUGGGAGAGGUAAGUGGAAUUCCUAGUGCAGCGGUAGAAUGCGUAGAGAUUAGGAGGAACAUCAGAGGCGAAGGCGGCUUACUGGACCAUAACUGACGCUGAGGCUCGAAAGCGUGGGGAGCAAACAGGAUUAGAUACCCUGGUAGUC
rnacentral:rRNA from 1 species